UACAGAGGUCUCAAGCGUUGUUCGGAUUCAUUGGGCGUAAAGGGUGUGUAGGUGGCGCGCUAAGUCGGGUGUGAAAUUUCGGAGCUUAACUCCGAAACUGCAUUCGAUACUGGCGUGCUUGAGGACUGGAAAGGAGAUUGGAAUUCAUGGUGUAGCAGUGAAAUGCGUAGAGAUCAUGAGGAAGACCAGUGGCGAAGGCGGGUCUCUGGACAGUUCCUGACACUGAGACACGAAGGCCAGGGGAGCAAACGGG
rnacentral:rRNA from 1 species